GCGUCGGUGAUGCAACGAUUAGCACACGCUCCCGGAAAGAGUGAGAUAUGUGUUCGAAUCCCGGCUGACGCA